rnacentral:lncRNA from 10 species
CAGCUCACUGCAACCUCAACCUCUUGCGCUCAAGUGAUCUUCCCCCUUUAGCGUCCUGAAUAGCUGGGACUACAGGUGUGCUCAGCCAUACCUGGCUAAUGUUUGUAUUUUUUGUAGAGACGGGUGGGUUUUGCCAUGUUGCCCAGGCUGGUCUCAAACUGAGCUCAAGCGAUCCACCCACCUCAGCUUCCCAAAGUGCUGGGAUUACAGGCAUGAGUCCCCGUACUGGCCUGUGUAUCAGGAACACCUCACUAUUUGAUAUCAGAAAGUUCUGAGUGUUGGUGCGGUCCCUGUGACCAUGUAGCCCUGUGUGUAGGAAGUGAGACUCUGUUUCUGUUCUAUUACUGCCCUAAGUAUGUUUUUAUUAGACUUCUUUGGUAUCCCCGUCUUUGUUGACAGCAAAGAUAGGGCUAUUAAAUGAACAUUUUACCAGGAAAAGAUGAGACACAUUUCUUUCCCAAGAGUGUAAUUAUGGCUUCCCUCACCAAAUGAUGUAAUUGUUCUUAAAGUGUUCAGGGGAUAACACUAAGCUGCCUUUUUUUUUUUUUUUUUAAAUGUGGAGACUGAAAAGCAGUUGAAGUAGUUUACUAUAGUGAGGGCUGUGAUUAGGGUUGGUAAGACCCUGGAUCUGGGCAGCUGGAAGCAGAAAGAAGAUGGUGAGUGCUGAAAGACAUGCUCGGGAUUGGUACAUUGGGGACCUGUUUUUUGCCCGAUUUAGAAUUUUGUUGAAAGGCAGUAUUCUAUGCAUAAUAUGUGUGUGUGGAAAUGGAUUGUAAUCUAUGUGAAUGAUUAGUCUCAUCUCUGUGGUAAUAAAAUGUUUUGCAAAUUUUUUUGAAUGCAUUUGAAGUGCUUUGAAUUCCAGUAUGAGGUAUGGGAGCAGGGAGCAAAGUAAA